AUUAAAUAAUAUUUUUAUUCCGACAUAUAUAUAUAUAUAUAUAUAUAUAUAUAUAUAUCAUUCGCGGCAGGUAUUUAUUAAAAUGUGGACGCGUUAUUUCCUUCCUUUUUUAAUUUUUUUUUUUCUGGAAGGGAUGGUGUCGAAGAGCAGGGGGAAAAUAUCGAAGCGCGAGUUCGUUCGUUACAUAAGUUAUGAAGAUUAACACUUUUCAAUGUGUUUCAACGUUUAUGGGGUUUUCGAAAAAAGAAACAAAAAAAAAGAAGAGGAAGAAGAAAAAAAUGAAAAAGAAAGAAACGAAGAAAAGAUAUCUAUAAAUGUUAGAUAAUUAUGUGCACGGUUAUUAUCCAAUUCGUUAAGGGAUGUUAUCAUUUCAUUACUUACGCUCUUAAUAAAUAUUUAUUAUCCUUUUGAAAAUUUAAAAAUCUACGAACAUAAGAUAAUGGCGAAAUUUGUAUGAGGGUAAAAAAGAAAAGAAUGUUUCAAGGUGAUUUUGAAAAAUUAAUCACUCUUUUUGAGACUCGUUAUUCGCUAAUUAGAUCCGUGGUAUAAUUACGACUGCAGUUUUACUUAGCGAGACUUGUAGUUUUGCAGUCAGAAAAAGAAAGAAAAAAAGAAAGAGAGAGAGAGAGAGAGAGAAAGAGGGAGAACAAGAAAAGGACAAGUUAAUACAAAGAGAACGAUUGAUCGAUCUUUUAAAGUCGCCUAAGAACUUUUAGAUUCACCCUAUAUAGCUGUCCCAGUUAUUAUCUCGUUCGUUGACGUAAUCAUGAUUGUUAACACGUCAUCGUUUGCGAUCAAUCUUCCUCAUAUUUGCGUUGCUUACCGAACGAUCUAUAUUUUGUUUAUCAUUCGACAUAUUUCGAGAUUACAACAACGUUUAAUUUAAAAUGUCAAUAUCUCGUUUUCAUUAAUGCAAGUUACAUUACGAUAAGGAUCUUGGGGAGAGUUUUUUUCUCUUUUUUUUUUUUUUUUUUUUUUUUUUUUUUUUUUUUUUUUUUUUAAGUUUAUUUUUUCGUUCGAGGUAGACGAUCGUUCGAGAGGAGACACAAGUGAUAAUAAUAAAUAAGUGAUAAGGAUCGAACCUUUCUUUAGCCAAGAUAGUCGGGCAUUAAGUAUAAUAAGAACGGCAUCGUGUGUCCUCUUCGCGUAGACGGUAUAAUCGGCCUCUUUAUUCAACCGCUCGACCCACUUUCCAAGUUAUUCUCUUCAAAGACCAACGACGCGUCGUGUACCGCAAACUUUUUCUUCUCUAGGGCACAUCGACGUCUUGGUUUUUAUUAUCGCCGUAAGAGAACAUAUUAGGUUAAAGCUCCUUCAAGUGCAUUACAUAUGUAUAUACGUUUGCGUAUAUACCUGUUUAUGAUUUUAGUUUUCUUUUAUUUUUUCUUCUUUACAAAAAAAGAAAAGAAAAAGAAAAAGAAAAGAAGGAGAAAGGAAAUUCUUCUCGUUGAAUUAAAGGAUAGAGAAAAAAAUAUUUGGCAGAUAUUUACAUCGAAUUAAUGUUGAUUUUGAAUUUUUAAUAUUCUUUAUCUAUCUAAGUAUUGAAUUAUUUAUUAACACGUUCCGUGCCAAGCCAUUUUUACCUGACUUGUCGUUCAGGCCAUUUGAUAUUUUGACUAAAGAAAAAAAUGACUGCAUGUACCACCGGUGGUACACGUGGCUUGAAGAUCGUUUAACGUGUACCACCGUUGGUACACAUGGCACGGAACGUGUUAACGUUAUGUAUGAAUCUAUGUAUAUAUAUAUAUAUAUAUUAUUUUUUAUACUAUACUAUUCUAUUUUAUAUUAAAUUAUAACAUACUAUUAUGAUAUACUAUAUAUUAUAUAGUAUUAUUAUUAUUACGUGCAUAUGUACAGUUACAUGUAAUAACCAGGUUAUAAUGUGAACAAUGAUAUAAUAAUCCAUAGUAUUGCUUCUACAUUAUAUAACAGAUACGAUUAAUGUCUUACACAGAUAAGAAAAUAAUAACACGGAAUGAUUAUUGAAUUCGAUCAACAAGUUAAAAUAAAAUAACUUUUAGAUGGUUCGCAUUGAAGAAACAAAUCAAAUAUUGCGGAUAAGUAAAUAAAAUAAAAAGAUUAAAAAUUACAAAAUAGAAAAAUAGAAAAGUAAAAGAAUGAAAACGUAACAAACGAACGACCAUUGAAGUGGAAGAUGUUGAGAAAGAUAAAGAGGAGUGUGGAAAAUAGAAAAUAAAAAACAAAAACAAAAAAAAAAAAAA